UGGGGAAUAUUGCGCAAUGGGGGGAACCCUGACGCAGCCAUGCCGCGUGAAUGAAGAAGGCCUUAGGGUUGUAAAGUUCUUUCGGUAUUGAGGAAGGUUGAUGUGUUAAUAGCACAUCAAAUUGACGUUAAAUACAGAAGAAGCACCGGCUAACUCCGUGCCAGCAGCCGCGGUAAUACGGAGGGUGCGAGCGUUAAUCGGAAUAACUGGGCGUAAAGGGCACGCAGGCGGUUAUUUAAGUGAGGUGUGAAAGCCCCGGGCUUAACCUGGGAAUUGCAUUUCAGACUGGGUAACUAGAGUACUUUAGGGAGGGGUAGAAUUCCACGUGUAGCGGUGAAAUGCGUAGAGAUGUGGAGGAAUACCGAAGGCGAAGGCAGCCCCUUGGGAAUGUACUGACGCUCAUGUGCGAAAGCGUGGGGAGCAAACAGGAUUAGAUACCCUGGUAGUCCACGCUGUAAACGCUGUCGAUUUGGGGGUUGGGGUUUAACUCUGGCGCCCGUAGCUAACGUGAUGAAUCGACCGCCUGGGGAGUACGGCCGCAAGGUUA
rnacentral:rRNA from 1 species